rnacentral:snRNA from 1 species
GUUAGUUGGUAAUAUCCGAUAAAAUUGGAACGAUACAAAAAAGACUAGUAUGGUCCAUGCGUAAAGAUACGCACAAAUGAAUUUUCUUUGUAUGAUAUUUUC